rnacentral:rRNA from 1 species
GAUGAACGCUGGCGGCGUGCCUAAUACAUGCAAGUCGAACGGGGAGUAGCAAUGCUCUUAGUGGCGAACGGGGGAGUAACGCGUUGGUACCUGCCCCGAAGCGCGGGAUAACGGACCGAAAGGUCCGCUAAUACCCCAUGCGCUCGGUAACGAGUAAAGGUGAAGACCACUUUGGUAGGUGCCUGCGUCCCUUCAGCUAGCUGGUAAGGUAACGGCUUACGAAGGCGAUGACGGGUAGGGGACCUGAGAGCGUGGCCCCCGACAAUGGAACUGAAACACAGUACGUAAACCUACGGGUGGCAGCAGAAGGGAAUAUAGGUAAUGGGCGCAAGCCAGAAAGAGCAUCGCCGCGUGUGCGAUGGCGGCCAUCGAGUUGUAAAGCACUUUUGACUGGGACGAGGCAGGACGGUACCGGUCGAAUAAGCCUCGGCUAACUACGUG